AACGAACGCUGGCGGCAUGCCUAACACAUGCAAGUCGAACGAAGGCUUCGGCCUUAGUGGCGCACGGGUGCGUAACGCGUGGGAAUCUGCCCCUCGGUUCGGAAUAACAGUUAGAAAUGACUGAGAAUACCGGAUGAUGACUUCGGUCCAAAGAUUUAUCGCCGAGGGAUGAGCCCGCGUAAGAUUAGGUAGUUGGUGGGGUAAAGGCCUACCAAGCCGACGAUCUUUAGCUGGUCUGAGAGGAUGAUCAGCCACACUGGGACUGAGACACGGCCCAGACUCCUACGGGAGGCAGCAGUGGGGAAUAUUGGACAAUGGGCGAAAGCCUGAUCCAGCAAUGCCGCGUGAGUGAUGAAGGCCUUAGGGUUGUAAAGCUCUUUUACCAGGGAUGAUAAUGACAGUACCUGGAGAAUAAGCUCCGGCUAACUCCGUGCCAGCAGCCGCCGUAA
rnacentral:rRNA from 1 species